rnacentral:lncRNA from 1 species
GGAGAUUUUCAGCCUGGGUGGAACCCGCCUCCGGGAUGCAGAAGCCUGGUUGCCAAGGUCCAAGGACCUUAAAAAACCCGGAGCUAAAAUGCAGUAGACUGGAGGCCUCUGCUGACUGUAGGCUGAAGGUGGUAUUUGCAGACCGGCUUUGUGGAAACAACCCUGAUCCUAAAGGGGCUGGGCCCUGGCCCGGCUGCAGAGCUUGUGUGGGAACCAACUCUAGGAGGAAAACCUACAAGCACAACCAAGGAGCAGGCCUGCUCAGUCCUUGGACCUUAGAGGAAGCAAGCUGGAGAGGAAGAGAAAGAGUAGAAGGCUGGUGGAAUGUCUGCUCCUCCGUGGAUCUCGAUGCAGUGAGAAGUUGGAUGGUAGGGUAGGGAAGGGUAGCUGAAGCCACUGCAGACAGCUCACACAAGCCACCUGCAUAGCGUCCGUUGGUGGCUUCUGGAUGACCUGGCAGUGUGUCUGAACAUUUUCUCAGGGAAACAGCAGUUGCAAUGCUAUGUGAAUAAAGGGAGAAAGGAGUUGUUGUUUGCUGAGCUCCUGUGGAGCCAAGCGACUCUAGCCCUCACAGUAGUCCUUAGGAACACACUGACGUUACGCACUUUUGCAGGCAGGAAAUAGAUUCAGAAGAGACGAACUUUCCCGGUGUUACACAGCUAGUGUUGCUACAUUCUAGAAACAUGCCUAGGCUAUAAAAGCUUUGUUCUUUAAGCCACUAAAUUGUUAACUGCAGUCUUCUGUGCAAUAAUGUACGUUACAAUAACAGUUUCAGUGACUUUGAAACAGCAGUGGGGCACUCUGAGCACUGUAAGAUACCCGUUCCACUUGGCCUCUGUGGUCUAGGAGAUGCCCAGGCUGUGGGUGAACGGGUCACCUUCUCGUUAGGCCCUGGAUGCUGCAUCCGUUCCCUUUGUUCUGAGUGUGCUCCCCACCGCUGGCCCACAGUUUGCUAUGCCCAGACGCUCUCACUUCAGGCAGAGCAGUGCAUGGCACUAAAGCUGUCAGCCUGACCCCUCUUUUCCUGACAGCUUCUCUCUGAUGACCUCUGUGCUUGUUUCCUGCCCCCAGCCCAAACGUUUGUUAGAAGACUGAGUGGAUUUAUGCACUGAGUCCUGCCCAGAGACCAGUCUCGACUCAGCCGUACCUCAUUUUCCAUCCUUAAAUGCCAAAAAGUGUGAAGUUUGUUACUUAGCCAGCUUUACGGGCGAGGACUGGGCACCUCGUCAUAUGUGUGUUCUGUGCACCCCGUGUGUUAGCUUUGUCCCAGCUCUGCUGCUUUAGUAAUGCAGAUAUGGGUCACUCUGUUUCCAGUCCACAAGACAGAGGUCUGCCACCUUGUUUUCUGCCUUUGCCCUGCUUUGCUAGUUGUGUACUGGAUCAUUCUGCUCUUCAACCCUAGAGCUCACCACUUGUCCCUAGUAUCCUGGUAGUUCGGACAGUGGUGUAUUAACUUGUCUUUGGUUGGCAUUUGACUUGUGAAUGAAGAUUCUGAUUACUAUAUGUGUUUGACUAGGGGACAAUCAAAAGAUCAGAACCACUACAACAAAGGCUGAUGUGUGCAUGUUAAGGAUGUUUUAUGUUAUGUAAUUUGCGGAGAUGGCUUAGCCUCUAGGGCUGUCAUUUGUAUAUAAUACUAGGACUUAAAGUAUUCAGGACGGGGAGUCAGGAAGGGAAGGUGGAAGGACAUGGAAACCUUGAACAAGAGUUGGAAUUCAAGAAGAUGGCCUGGAACCCGUGCAGUGUCUCACCGCCUCCAGCUUCAAUGAUGUUUGUAUCCUGCAGAAGAAGCUAGUGUCCUUAGGAGCAUCUGGCCUAGGACUAGAGAAGCUAAAGGAAGACCCAGGGAAAUUGUAGCCGCUGAAGGCCUGGCUGUAGGACUUGCUGUUUCCCCGUACCAAGGUGAGACAGCAGACUAAUGACAGCUUGUAUGAACUGCAACAUGCUUGCUGUCCCUGCACCAACCUUCCAAGUGUUAAGAACAGCCUGCUGCUGCUGCUUCACUUCUACUAGCCACAGCCUUUCUGUGGAUGUUCUUAACUGGAAUGUAUGGGGAAGGAUCCCAGGAAGCAUAGUCUAGUCAAGGUGACAUGUUAGAAAGCCACCUUACCAUGACUCAGCUCCAUGAGGUCUCACCACUCACCUGAGGAUAACGUAACAAAACUACAUUGCUGAAAAGGUAAAGCUGGAGACCAUGGAUUUCGUGAUGGUCCCAGCAAGUAAAGAAAUCAUGUCCCGCUGAUCCAGAACAGUCUUGCUGAUCUCAGCUGUAUUUGUGUUAUUCAUCCAAGUCUUGAAAGCUUAGCUCACUGUACAUAAUACUGAGAUUCAGAAGUGCAGUUUUAUAAAAUGCAUCAAUAUAUAUUACAAGUGAUAAAAUAGCUCCGGUUUACUAUGGACUUCGAUGCUGAAAUAUAGAAUUGAGUAUACUGUGGAGAAGCCAGUCCUUUUUUGAGUUUUUUUUUCAAAGUAGUAUAGUAGUUGGAAACAACUUAAUCAUUUCUAUUUCUAAGGUGUUCUAUUGUAAAGUUAUUUUAAAACAAAUUCUCCUGUUCUAUUACUUGUUUUUUCUGUUAGUGUUUCUUUGUGGGGAUGUUUGGUGGUGGUAACAGUGUUGACUGCUGUGGGAAAUUGGGAUAGUGGGUGUCAGGAUUAUGGUCAGUUGUGUUAUUUCCCCUGGCUUCCGUGGGGUGGCUGCAGGCUGAGGCCUGACUGCACUUGUUGCUCAUCCCACCAUGCAGCCAGUCAGGCUCCUCCGGGCCUAGGCUGCUUGAGAAUGCCAUUGGGUAGCUUUUAAAGCUGGUGCCAGCUGCCGUGGGGCAGAGCCUCUGCCUGCAAAGCCCCUUGAUGUUUGGAAAAGCUGGUUUUACUCUUGAGAGAGUGGUGAAACGGUCUAAACGAGAGCUAGUGUGGCCAGGCUCAUGGGCUAACUGCUCUUCUGUGUGAGCUCAAGAUGGUCCUAUGAUGUCUGCAAGCACUGGCUGCCUCUAAGGGUCAGCUUCCCUGGGCCUUCCCAGACUCACCAACAAGACCUCUGUGGCGACCCAAACCCUGGUCUCUGGGGUUCACAAACCCUGCUGAAGGGAUCUGUUCCCUCUGUAGAGGGUGUGCUGGGGGUG